rnacentral:rRNA from 1 species
UAGAGGUUCAAGCAGGCGAUUCAUUUUCUGCCACCGAAUACAUUACCAUGGGAUAAUGGAAUAGGACCCUGUCCUCCUAUUUUCAGUUGGUUUUGGCAGCGCGAGGACUAGGGUAAUGAUUAAUAGGGAUAGUUGGGGGCAUUAAUAUUUAAUUGUCAGAGGUGAAAUUCUUGGAUUUAUGAAAGAUUAACUUCUGCGAAAGCAUCUGCCAAGGAUGUUUUCAUUAAUCAAGAACGAAAGUUAGGGGAUCGAAGACGAUCAGAUACCGUCGUAGUCUUAACCAUAAACGAUGCCGACCAGCGAUUAGGAGACGUUGAAUACAAAACACCACCAUCGGCGCGGUCGUCCUUGGCGUUCGUGUUCACGCACGAGCGCGAGGGCGGCUUAGCCCGAUGGCACCGGUGAAUGACUCCCCUACGCUUUGGUGAGAA